CUUACUGUGAUUAGCCCAAGCAACUUCAAUGUGAAUUAUUGCUUACUUUUGUUGAUGGUAAAAAGAUGAAACCGGCUCCAUUUUAAUACAAGUUGGAUAUACUGAGACAAUUGAGGUAUAAAGAGAGAGAGAGAGAGAGAGAGGAGAGAGCAUUUAUUAGGUGUGCUGGGUGGAGACAGUUUGUUAGGUAACACACUGAGAAGUCAUGGUUGUGUCUAGGAGAGGUAAAUAUGUACAAAAGUAGAGAAACUUGAUUAAUUUUUGUAGUUGCUGUUCUUGAAAUCUGUGAAUUGAUUGUGGAUGUUUGUGUUUAGAGAUUGAUUGAUUUCUGCAAGAAACUUUACUGGGUUAUCAAGAGACCUUUGUUUAGUAGAUGCUUCUUUUACUUGGUUUAGUUUAGGUUUGCCUGUUAUUUUGUCUGAGUUCUCUGAGCUGGGGAGUUCAGGGCUUUCGGGAGGCAUCAAGAGGAAUUACUUUGUAAGAUUGGGAAACAAGCAGAUCGGAUUUUGUUCUCUUAAAGCGAAUAAAGAUUAACUCUGAUAAUUCAAAAAAACAGAGGUUGCUGGCACUUAGAAUCAUCAAGAUUUGAAGGAUCUGGUGUCCCACUGCUUGUUGAUUUCAUGAAGAAGUAUUCUUUGUGAAGUGAUUCUAUAAGUUCUGACUCACUGAUGGAGUGGAAUGGCAAACCCCACUUACAGUGGGACUGGGAGAGCCUGAUAAUGUUCAAUGGAAUAACAACUGAAAAUUCUAAGCAGUUAAGCCCAACAGAUUUGGAAACUGAUGGAGAAAAAGGAACCGACUCUGGGUUUUUCUAUUCAUCUGGGAGUGCAAGCAGAAGUGGUGGUUCUAGCUCUGAUUUGGAACUUGCUUCUUUCUCAAAGUGCUCGAAGUCAGCUUCCAUCAAUUCUUCAUCAGCUGGGGAAGUUAAAACAUCCAAAUUCACUUUGGAGGCCUCUAAAGCAAAUCCAUCUGAUUACAAUAAGAAAGAAAUUGGAAAGGCUAAGACAGCUAGUAUGUCUUCCACAAUUGAUGCUUCAGGUGGUUCAGGUGACCAGCUGCUUGGUUUGAAGCUUGGUAAACGAAUAUACUUUGAAGAUGCUUGUGCUGGCAACAAUGUUCAGUCUUCAUCAUUUUCUACAGUUCCUGUGCCCUCUUUUACUACAGCAAAGAAAUUGAAGUCCACUAUUCAGAGUCAGCGUGCUCCAUACUGUCAAGUGGAAGGCUGUAACCUUGACCUCUCAUCAGCUAAAGAUUAUCAUCGCAAACAUAGAGUUUGUGAAAGCCAUUCAAAGUGCCAGAAGGUCAUUGUAGCUGGUUUGGAACGCAGGUUUUGCCAGCAGUGUAGCAGGUUCCAUGGCCUGUCAGAGUUCGAUGAAAAGAAGAAAAGCUGCCGCAGGCGACUUUCUGAUCACAAUGCAAGACGCCGCAAACAACCAGGAUCGGUCCAUUUAAAUUCAAGAGUGUCUUCAUCAUUAUAUGAUGAAAGGCAACAGAUGAGUCUUGCUUGGGAUAGGGCACCACUUGUUCAUGCCAGGCCUAAUGCAAAUUUGACGUGGGAAGGCACAUACAUCUCCAAGUUCACAAUAACAAAAGAUUAUAUAGCAAAGCCUGCAGAAAUAGGUGGUAAUGAUGGGCAGUUUCACUUGCCUGGCUUUGAUCUGACAAAUGGCAUUGAUAUUCAGCACCAUCAUAAGUCUAAUAGCUCCUUACCAUCUAAAGGCAAGGGCACUGCAGCCGAGAUUCUCAACCAAGGUUUGGAAGAAUACAUCAUUCCUUCCAAAGCGGAAGCAGCACCAGAAUCUCAUCGUGCUCUCUCUCUUCUGUCAAACAAUUCAUGGGGUUCACGUGAGCCGCAAUCUAUUUCAUUUGAACAACCCAUGCAUACAAAUCACACCACUCAGUCUGUGCUGCAAGUUAUACCCCAAAACUCACCACUUACUUCAUCAGAGUAUUGGAGGACUGAGCAACCGUCAACUGACUCUCAAGUGCAUACCUUGACGUCUCACUGAUGGUAGCAGUUUCUUUCAAGAGUUUCAGCUGUUAAGAACAUCAAAAGGGAAUGACUUCAAUUCCAUCCAGAUGAACUUACUGCUGAAGCAAUUUAUCAUUUUCAUCUUAACAAAUUAAGUGAAGGCACUGGACCAUCCUGUAGCAUACUGUUAGGAUUCAGAUCAUGGUGAUCCGAAGUUCUCCUAAAACACCAUUUGGACUGGUUAAUGAUGGAUCACUGAUUUGAAAGUUAUCUGUAUCUGUUAUUAAAUUUCUAGGAACCUAGAACUUAAUAUUGCAACUUUUGAAGCAUCUUUUGAAAACCAAGGGAUCUGAGCUAUCAAUUUUCUUGUUCCUUCCAUUCGAUGCCCAUGGUAAAGCUCGUCUUAGCUUCUCUUGUGCUGUAAUAUACUGAAAAUAGUAGUACUUAAAUGCAGGUCUGAAUGAUCUUGCAGUAAUGCAGCCCUUAUAUGGCUCUGAUGUGAACUAUGAGCAUGAGCUGUUUGAAAA